AUGAGCCGUGUGUGGGUGGCAGCGACGGUGGCCGCCGUGCGGGCGCAGAGGGAGAGGGCGGCGGGGGCGGGGUCGCGGGACCGGCUUGCCGGGCUCGCUCCCCAGGCCGCCGCGCUCGGGGCGGCGCGGGCCGUCGCCGACGACGGCCGGAGGCAGGCCGGCGCCGAUGAGUCGCUCCGCAAGGCCAUGUACCUCAGCUGCUGGGGCCCGAGCUGA
rnacentral:rRNA from 1 species